CACGAGAUCAGAAGAAGCAGAAACAUCCAACUCAGAAGCUGCUUCAGCAGCGUUGCCUUCUAGCAUCAUGUCAUCAGAAAUAGAUCCAAGUUUGGAAUAUGAGCUUUCAGCAUUGCGAGAAGCAAUCGAUUCUGGGUUUACAUAUUUCCUGGCACAUGGAGAUGUGAGAGCCAAAAAGAACUCAUUUUUCCUCAAGAAACUCGUCAUAAACUACCUCUAUGCAUUCCUAAGGAGAAACUGUCGAGCCGGGGCCGCAAAUAUGAGCGUACCGCACAUGAAUAUCUUGCAGGUAGGUAUGACAUACAUGGUCUGAUGAUUUUUCCAUCCAAAAAAAAGCAGCCAUUUUUUU
rnacentral:lncRNA from 1 species